rnacentral:rRNA from 1 species
CCCUUAGACGUUCUGGGCCGCACGUGCGCUACACUGACGAAGGCAACGAGCUUUCCUUUACCGAAAGGUACGGGUAAUCUUUUGAAACUUCGUCGUGCUGGGGAUAGAUCCUUGCAAUUUUUGAUCUUAAACGAGGAAUGCCUAGUAAGCGCAAGUCAUCAACUUGCGUUGAUUACGUCCCUGCCCUUUGUACACACCGCCCGUCGCUACUACCGAUUGAAUGGUUUAGUGAGGCCUUCGGAUCCGCGACUCGUUUUGUGGAGAAGUUGGACAAACUCAGUCAUUUAGAGGAAGUAAAAGUCGUAACA